CUACGGGAGGCAGCAGUGGGGAAUAUUGCGCAAUGGGGGAAACCCUGACGCAGCAACGCCGCGUGAAGGAUGAAGGUUUUCGGAUCGUAAACUUCUUUGAUGAGGGAAGAAUAAUGACGGUACCUCAAAAACAAGCCACGGCUAACUACGUGCCAGCAGCCGCGGUAAUACGUAGGUGGCGAGCGUUGUCCGGAAUUACUGGGUGUAAAGGGCGUGUAGGCGGGAAUGCAGGUCAGAUGUGAAACUCCGAGGCUUAACUUCGGAACUGCAUCUGAAACUGUGUUUCUUGAGUGCUGGAGAGGAAAGCGGUAUUCCUAGUGUAGCGGUGAAAUGCGUAGAUAUUAGGAGGAGCACCAGUGGCGAAGGCGGCUUUCUGGACAGUAACUGACGCUGAGGCGCGAAAGCGUGGGGAGCAAACAGGAUUAGAUACCCGCGUAGUCCU
rnacentral:rRNA from 1 species